AGCUUUUUUUUAGCACGAAGCUCUAAGAGCAGUGGCUCUGCUCUUAAGCAGCUCAAUAUUUAUUUAUAAAAUUGCCAUACAAUAAUAAAGCUAAUGCAAAUCAGAGAAUUCAUAUCUCCAUUUCAUCUUUUGAUAGUCGUAUAGACAUUCGCUAUAAAAAAGAACAUAAGAAAAAUUCACAGAAAGGAACAAUCAUAAAAGCACACAUUACUCCUAAAAAGUACUAGUUUCCACUCUAGGUUCUCUGAUUGUUGACUUCAUUUCUUAUUCAAUC
rnacentral:misc_RNA from 1 species